CCUCAGACGUUGGAAUGUUUUCCCAGCGCUGCAGGAACGUGCUUGGGCACAGGGAAGAGGUGGCACCGGGGAUGCUCUGGGCUCCAGAGGAGAUUGAGGAGAUCCAAAGUGAAUCCAGCUCCUGGUCCUGCACCGGGGACAAAGCCCCAGCCUGGCAGGGACUGGAAUGGGAUGAGCAGGACAUCAAGCAGGAUUUUGGGAUCUUGGGAAGGCGUUUGGCUGAGCAAUUCCUGCUUUAACAAUCCCCCACUGAUCCCAACCAUAACCUCCUUAGAUCCUUUGCUCAGGAUCAAAUCUGGGUCAGGAAAGAUGCAGGGAACAGGAAAGACACUCGGGAAUGCCAGCAGCUCCAGGCUGCUAAAUAUAAACCUGGGAGAGGAGAGGAGCUGAGAGAGGGGUAAAAAUAGCCCCGGGCUCGCUGCAGCCUCUCCUGCCACGCCCGAGCUGCUCCCUGCUCCUGCUCUCGCCUCCCCGGGCUCAUUUUUCCAGCUACACCUGGACCUGAAUGGGAUCCGCUGCUGGGAGUUCACAUUAAAGCUGGGAUUUAUGGGAUUGUGCUUGUUCUCAGCCCUUGGCUCCUCCCCAGCAGGAAUUUGCCCUGUCCCAUACGGAUACAGAAUCCCAAAGCUGGGAUUUAUGGGAUUUAUGGGAUUGUGCUUGUCCUCAGCCCUCAGCUCCUCACCAAGAGGAAUUCUCCUUCCUUGACAGGAAUUCACCCUGUCCCAUAUGGAUACAGGAUCCCAAAGCUGGGAUUUAUGGGACUGUGAACUGGGAUUUAUGGGAUUGUGCUUGUCCUCAGCCCUUGGCUCCUCCCCAGCAGGAAUUCACCCUGUCCCAUAUGGAUACAGGAUCCCAAAGCUGGGAUUUACGGGAUUGUGAUUGGGGAUUUAUGGGAUUGUGCUUGUCCUCAGCCCUCAGCUCCUAACAGAGAGGAAUUCUCCUUCCCUGACAGGAAUCCACCCUGUCCCAUACGGAUACAGGAUCCCAAAGCUGGGAUUUGUGGGAUUGUGAGCUGGGAUUUAUGGGAUUGUUCUUGUCCUCAGCCCUCAGCUCCUUCCCUGACAGGAAUUCACCCUGUCCCAUAUGGAUACAGGAUCCCAAAGCUGGGAUCUAUGUGAUUUAUAGGACUGUGCUUGUCCUCAGCCCUUGGCUCCUUCCCUGACAGGAAUUUGCUCUGUCCCAUACGGAUACAGGAUCCCAAAGCUGGGAUUUACAGGAUUGUGAGUUGGGAUUUAUGGGAUUGUCUUUAUCCUCUGCCCUCAGCUCCUUCCCUGACAGGAACUCACCCUGUCCCAUAUGGGAUCCAUACAGGAUUCCAAAGCUGGGAUUUGCUGCAAGCAAAGCACCCCAGCCUUGGUGCCAGGGGGAAUUUAGGGUCAGCCUGGGGCAGGAAAUGUGGGGCUCCAGGGGGAAUUCAGGGUCGGGCCGGGCAAUGUGGGGUGCCCCUCAGCCCCCCGGGGUUCCAGGAGCUUCGCCCACCCUCCAGCCGCAUUCCUUGUGGGGGGGGAAAAAAAUCCCUUUUUACAGCUGCUGUCCCCGGCACGGAUUUCAAAGGAAGAGCUCCUAGCGACCGCCUCUUGUCUUGUUUAAUUUUGUUUAAUUUUGUUGGGUUUUUUCCCCCCCCUCAGUGUCCUAAAGGAAGCGGCGGCAUUUAUUGACUUUCCGAGGGAAAGUGCCCCUUGUCAAGCAAAGCGAUGACAUCACUUUUGGUUUUACAGCCGGGCAGGAACAAUGACAGCAAUGCCUGGAUGCUGCCGGGGAUGCAGAGCGAGCUGGAUAAUUAACAGCAGGCAGGAACAUGACGUUGCACGGCGGGACACGAAGGGAAGGAGCAGUUUCGCAAGGCAAUGAGGAAUUUAGGCAUCAGCGGGCAAAAAAAAUGAAAUCACCCUGCUUGGAACCCGGCCAAAAGCCAGGAUUAAAGCCAGCAGGGCGAGUGAUCUGCA